rnacentral:rRNA from 1 species
CCCGUGUUUAUUGUACCUUGUUGCUUCGGUGAGCCCGCCUCACGGCCGCCGGGGGGCUUCUGCCCCCGGGCCCGCGCCCACCGAAGACACCAUUGAACUCUGUCUGAAGAUUGCAGUCUGAGCAUAAACUAAAUAAGUUAAAACUUUCAACAACGGAUCUCUUGGUUCCGGCAUCGAUGAAGAACGCAGCGAAAUGCGAUAACUAAUGUGAAUUGCAGAAUUCAGUGAAUCAUCGAGUCUUUGAACGCACAUUGCGCCCCCUGGUAUUCCGGGGGGCAUGCCUGUCCGAGCGUCAUUGCUGCCCUCAAGCACGGCUUGUGUGUUGGGCUCCGUCCCCCCGGGGACGGGCCCGAAAGGCAGCGGCGGCACCGAGUCCGGUCCUCGAGCGUAUGGGGCUUUGUCACCCGCUCUGUAGGCCCGGCCGGCGCCAGCCGACAACCCAUCAUCCUUUUCAGGUUGACCUCGGAUCAGGUAGGGAUACCCGCUGAACUUAAGCAUAUCAAUAAGCGGAGGAA